rnacentral:pre_miRNA from 7 species
AACUGGGCUGCCUUGCCUAGCCACAUAGGUGAAGUUGCACCUGAAAGACCCUCGAGGGGAGACCCUCACUCAGACACUCAAGUCCCGGGACAGCCGCGUACCCAAGAAGACACUGAGACCA